rnacentral:rRNA from 1 species
UAUCCUGGCUCAGGAUGAACGCUGGCGGCGUGCUUAACACAUGCAAGUCGAACGAAGCACCUGAGAACGAUUCUUCGGAUGAAGUCUCUUGUGACUGAGUGGCGGACGGGUGAGUAACGCGUGGGUAACCUGCCUCACACAGGGGGAUAACAGUUGGAAACGACCGCUAAUACCGCAUAAGCUGCCGGUGCCGCAUGGCACUGACGGAAAAGAUUUUAUCGGUGUGAGAUGGACCCGCGUCUGAUUAGCCAGUUGGCAGGGUAACGGCCUACCAAAGCGACGAUCAGUAGCCGGCCUGAGAGGGCGAACGGCCACAUUGGGACUGAGACACGGCCCAGACUCCUGCGGGAGGCAGCAGUGGGGAAUAUUGCACAAUGGGGGAAACCCUGAUGCAGCGACGCCGCGUGAGUGAAGAAGUAUUUCGGUAUGUAAAGCUCUAUCAGCAGGGAAGAAAAUGACGGUACCUGAUUAAGAAGCCCCGGCUAACUACGUG